UAUAGUGUUCAUAUUUUUCUAUUUAUAAAAAAAAGUCGCCAGCUUGCUUUUUAUAGUUAACUAUCAGACCAAAUGACGCAAAUAAGAUUUUAUCGCUUUACAGCAACUUGUUGCAAAACACAAAAACCAAACCGAAUGGAGUCGAUUAAAUUCUUUGAAAUUAAAACCUAAAACACUCCGCUACACAAUAUAUAAAAAAAACCAAAAAAAAAACGUUUGCGCGCAUGACUUACGAAGACGAAAUGUGUCAGUACAUUUGUAUAGCUCAACCGCAAAACCAACGACCUACGUCAAAACUGAUUGUAGUUGCAGAAAUUCCGUUGCAAAUUGCAAAAUGUUUAUGAGUUGCAAUAAUUACUAUAUAUACAUAUACAUAUACAUACGUACGUUAUAUAAGUAGGUGACAAAAGCGUAAGUCGCAUCCGCUUUCAAAUUGUUCUGGGUAACUCUCCACAACAACUUACAAAAAAAAUUAAGUAAUUAACAAAAAAAAAUUAAAAAAAGGAUAGCCCAAUCUGCCCGACAACAGGUUCAUUGACUAUACGCAGCGACGAUGGUGGGUGACCCACGGUGCGGCAUCGCACUUUGUCCAAAACGCCAGCGGCUAUGACGUCAGUAGUCGGCGCACAACGCAGACGCAACAGCCCAGACAGAGACGGCGAGAUGGCGGACAGAGGGAGGAGGGAGGGGGGGGGAGCGGUUACCUAGUAGACAAGGGCGCGGUGAUUACUCAACUCCCCGCCGCACCCCCAACGAAUCCCGCCACCCUCCGCCCACCCUUUUGCGGUAUAAAUAACGAGGGGCAAUUAAAAAUGCAUUUUUUUCUUUA